rnacentral:rRNA from 1 species
GGUGCUGAUUACGGUGAGGGUCCACCCGUUCCCAUUCCGAACACGGUAGUUAAGCUCAUUUGUGCCCACGAUACUUCCCCGGCGACGGGGCGGGAAAAUAGGUCG